AGUGGACGCUGGCGGUAGGCCUAACACAUGCAAGUCGAACGGCAGCACAGUAAGAGCUUGCCCUUACGGGUGGCGAGUGGCGGACGGGUGAGGAAUACAUCGGAAUCUACUUUUUCGUGGGGGAUAACGUAGGGAAACUUACGCUAAUACCGCAUACGACCUACGGGUGAAAGCAGGGGAUCUUCGGACCUUGCGCGAUUGAAUGAGCCGAUGUCGGAUUAGCUAGUUGGCGGGGUAAAGGCCCACCAAGGCGACGAUCCGUAGCUGGUCUGAGAGGAUGAUCAGCCACACUGGAACUGAGACACGGUCCAGACUCCUACGGGAGGCAGCAGUGGGGAAUAUUGGACAAUGGGCGCAAGCCUGAUCCAGCCAUACCGCGUGGGUGAAGAAGGCCUUCGGGUUGUAAAGCCCUUUUGUUGGGAAAGAAAAGCAGCAGGUUAAUACCCCGCUGUUCUGACGGUACCCAAAGAAUAAGCACCGGCUAACUUCGUG
rnacentral:rRNA from 1 species